rnacentral:rRNA from 1 species
ACCGAAUAGAUACCCGGGUAGUCCGUGCCGUCAACGAUGAGUAUUCAGCGUUGGAGAUUUUGAUCUUCAGUGCUUUAGCUAACGCGUUAAAUACUCCGCCUGAGUAGUACGGCCGCAAGGUUGAAAUUCAAAGAAAUUGACUGAAAUUUGUACAAGCGGUGGAGCAUGUGGUUUAAUCCGACAUAACGCGCAGAACCUUACCAGCUCUAGACAGUGCGGAGCGUGCUUGGGCUUAGCUGCCCAGUGUUUGUCGAAUUUAUUGUUCGAUAUAAAAGGCUCUGAAACAGGUGUUGCAUGGCUGUUGUCAGCUCGUGUUGUGAAAUGUUUGGUUAAGUCCUGUAACGAGCGAAACCCCUGCUCUUUGACGAUGGUGUUUAUUUAGUUCUAAUUUCUGUGAAUUACUAUUUACGGAAGGGCACUACGUUUGAGAGGACUGCUAUUUAAUUAUAUGAGGAAGGUAGGGAUGACAUCAAGUCGUCAUGGCCCUUAUGAGCUGGGGCUACACACGUGCUACAAUGGUAGUUACAAU